UAGGGAAUCUUCGUCAAUGGACGACAGUCUGACCGAGCAACGCCGCGUGAUUGAAGAAGGUUUUCGGAUCGUAAAACUCUGUUGUUAGAGAAGAACAAGGACGUUAGUAACUGAACGUCCCCUGACGGUAUCUAACCAGAAAGCCACGGCUAACUACGUGCCAGCAGCCGCGGUAAUACGUAGGUGGCAAGCGUUGUCCGGAUUUAUUGGGCGUAAAGCGAGCGCAGGCGGUUUCUUAAGUCUGAUGUGAAAGCCCCCGGCUAAACCGAGGAGGGUCAUUGGAAACUGGGAGACGUGAGUGCAGAAGAGGAGAGUGGAAUUCCAUGUGUAGCGGUGAAAUGAGUGGAUAUAUGGAGGAACACCAGUGGCGAGGGCGGCUAUCUGGUAUGUAACUGACGCUGAGGCUCGAAAGCGUGGGGAGCAAACAGG
rnacentral:rRNA from 1 species